rnacentral:rRNA from 1 species
GAGAAGGCUAUGUUGGCCGGGCGACGGUUGUCCCGGUUUAAGCGUGUAGGCUGGUUUUCCAGGCAAAUCCGGAAAACCAAGGCUGAGGCGUGAUGACGAGGCACUACGGUGCUGAAGCGACAAAUGCCCUGCUUCCAGGAAAAGCCUCUAAGCAUCAGGUAACAUCAAAUCGUACCCCAAACCGACACAGGUGGUCAGGUAGAGAAUACCAAGGCGCUUGAGAGAACUCGGGUGAAGGAACUAGGCAAAAUGGUGCCGUAACUUCGGGAGAAGGCACGCUGAUAUGUAGGUGAAGCGACUUGCUCGUGGAGCUGAAAUCAGUCGAAGAUACCAGCUGGCUGCAACUGUUUAUUAAAAACACAGCACUGUGCAAACACGAAAGUGGACGUAUACGGUGUGACGCCUGCCCGGUGCCGGAAGGUUAAUUGAUGGGGUUAGCGGUAACGCGAAGCUCUUGAUCGAAGCCCCGGUAAACGGCGGCCGUAACUAUAACGGUCCUAAGGUAGCGAAAUUCCUUGUCGGGUAAGUUCCGACCUGCACGAAUGGCGUAAUGAUGGCCAGGCUGUCUCCACCCGAGACUCAGUGAAAUUGAACUCGCUGUGAAGAUGCAGUGUACCCGCGGCAAGACGGAAAGACCCCGUGAACCUUUACUAUAGCUUGACACUGAACAUUGAGCCUUGAUGUGUAGGAUAGGUGGGAGGCUUUGAAGUGUGGACGCCAGUCUGCAUGGAGCCGACCUUGAAAUACCACCCUUUAAUGUUUGAUGUUCUAACGUUGGCCCGUAAUCCGGGUUGCGGACAGUGUCUGGUGGGUAGUUUGACUGGGGCGGUCUCCUCCUAAAGAGUAACGGAGGAGCACGAAGGUUGGCUAAUCCUGGUCGGACAUCAGGAGGUUAGUGCAAUGGCAUAAGCCAGCUUGACUGCGAGCGUGACGGCGCGAGCAGGUGCGAAAGCAGGUCAUAGUGAUCCGGUGGUUCUGAAUGGAAGGGCCAUCGCUCAACGGAUAAAAGGUACUCCGGGGAUAACAGGCUGAUACCGCCCAAGAGUUCAUAUCGACGGCGGUGUUUGGCACCUCGAUGUCGGCUCAUCACAUCCUGGGGCUGAAGUAGGUCCCAAGGGUAUGGCUGUUCGCCAUUUAAAGUGGUACGCGAGCUGGGUUUAGAACGUCGUGAGACAGUUCGGUCCCUAUCUGCCGUGGGCGCUGGAGAACUGAGGGGGGCUGCUCCUAGUACGAGAGGACCGGAGUGGACGCAUCACUGGUGUUCGGGUUGUCAUGCCAAUGGCACUGCCCGGUAGCUAAAUGCGGAAGAGAUAAGUGCUGAAAGCAUCUAAGCACGAAACUUGCCCCGAGAUGAGUUCUCCCUGAGACUUAGAGUCUCCUGAAGGAACGUUGAAGACGACGACGUUGAUAGGCCGGGUGUGUAAGCGCAGCGAUGCGUUGAGCUAACCGGUACUAAUGAACCGUGAGGCUUAACCUUACAACGCCGAAG